UUCAGCCUCUCCUUUUCCUACCAUCUUUGGUGCAUCUCAUUCUCCUUUCAACAUCUACUGUGCGUGCUUGGAGUCAUGCGACGUGCUUGAAGACAUGCGAUGUGUGUGUGGGUUGAUCGGAGGGAGCUUGAUUAAGAAUAGAAUCAGCCGCAAAGCCAUCGGUGCCGUCUCUUCACACAUUUGUGCUCCCAACUAUAUCGCCCCAACUUGAAGUCAUGGCACAGAACUCCCAAUGUUGAUAAAACACUUAUAGCCAAACCAGCCAAUUUGGCAUUAAAGCAGCAUCAUGGAAUUAUAUGCUCCAGAGUCUCUAUUGACAUAUAUCAUCAAUCGACACAUUCAUAUUGAAAAGGUAUGUCUUUUGUUAACAAAAAAUUUUAAUUCAAAAUGACAAAUGCUAUUGACAUAUAUCAUCAAUAGACACAUUCAUAUUGAAAAGGUUUGUCUUUUGAUAACAAAAAUUUUUAAUUAAAAAUGACAAAUGCCCUUAUUGUAGGUAUUACAUUCAAUAGUAGUAAAAAAUUGAAGGAAGCUAUUGCUCUAGCAAGUAUUACAAAACAAUCAAUAUCAAAUCUGACUAAAUAAGGUAUAUUGUGAAGUGUUGCAACUACAAUUGUAAAUGGAGAUUGCAUGAAUAAUAAUCUCAAUUUGCAUCUUCAAAUGAAUUUGUGAUUAGUACAUUUGUCUUUAAGUAUACAUAGAUUGAUAUUAAGCACAUGAGUAAUUAACAUGCCAAUUGGAUAGCAAGCAAUGUGAAGAACAAAUUGGAAACACAUCAUAACAUAGAGUUGUAGAUAUUUGAAAGAUAUUUGACAUACUACAAGUAUUUUGGUAUAUUAUUUGAUGUCACAAAUAUAUUAUAUACAAGUUCUAACAAGAAGUUGAAUUGAAAAGUUUCAACAAGAAAAUGAGCAAAAACAUGAUUAAAUCAUAUGAUUAUAAGAGAGGUGGAUGUUGCAAACAUUCAGCAAGAAGAUUCUUAAAAUAUUUUUUAAAUAUUCUAUUGUGUUCUAAAAUAUUUUUAGUAUAUUUCAACAAAUUCUAAGAAGUUCUAAGAAGAUUAAAGAAGUUAUUCAAGAAGUUUUUCAAAGUUGCUUCAUCUUCAAUCAACAUAAAAACUUCCUGAGAAGUUUCUUAAUAUCUAAUAUAUAUUAGAGUUGAGACUCAAAAAAUCCUCAGUCUCAAAAAAAUAUCUCUUGGAGCUUUAGCUUGUCUCUCUUGGUGUUGAUCUUGUACUCAUUAUAUUUAAUCAAGUUUUUAUUAGUUUUUUUGUUAUAACUCUUUUGCUCAACUUCUUAUUUGGUUGCCUGUAAAGUGUAUCCAAGAUAGUUUGCCAAGAUUGUUUUUUUAUUAAUACUAGAAUUUGAUCCUUCUUGAUAGAGAGUAAAUUACUCCUCUUCUUGAAGGUAUCUAAGCGCUUAAAGAUUGCGUAGUACCUUUUUCUAAAUUGGUAUUAUUUAGAAAUUUAUUUUUUAUUUAUUAUUUUAGGAUGGUUAGAGAUAAAGAUAUUAGUAUAGUUAAGUCUCUCAAAUCUAAGUUAGAUGUUAUUAUGAAUAUAUUGAAUGCUUUAGCUUGUAGAAUUAUUGAAAUUGAAAAAAAAUUUGCAAGAUUUUAUAGUGAUGCAAGACCUAGAGUAAGUUAGCCUAUGAUGCAACUACUUU